CUACGUAUGUAAGCAAAAGUCACUUUAUAUAAUGCUCAAACAAGGCAAAUAGAUAUGUUGCGCAAUCACAGAUACACAGAAUCCAGAUC
rnacentral:lncRNA from 1 species